AACGCACUCCCUCCUCCUCCUCCGCUCCUCCCUAGGCAGCUAGCCUCUCCGCCUCCCUCCCCUUCCGGCCAGCCAGCCACCUCGCAAUUCCCUGAACCUGCGCCACCGCGGGGGCAAUGGAGUCCACCGGCGCUGCCAUCUCGGCGCCGUUCGGCUGCCGCGCGUUGCGCUGGGCCGGGCAGCGGCCUCUCCGGCCGGCCGAUGCCAGGAGAAGGCGGGUGGGUCCGGGCCCCGGGCCGGAGCAGUGGAGGAGCUUGAAGGCGAGCUGUGUGGCCACGGAGAAGCCCGACGAGAAGGCGGCGCCGGGGCUGGGGGUAGACUUCGCCGACGAGGAGGACUACGUCAAGGGCGGCGGCGGUGAGCUGCUCUACGUGCAAAUGCAGGCCACCAAGGCCAUGGAAAGCCAGUCCAAGAUCGCCUCCAAGCUGUUGCCUAUAGCUGAUGAAACUUCAGUGCUUGAUUUGGUUAUCAUUGGCUGUGGUCCAGCCGGCCUAUCUCUGGCUGCAGAAUCAGCAAAGAAAGGACUCACUGUUGGUCUCAUUGGCCCUGAUCUUCCAUUCACAAACAAUUACGGUGUAUGGGAGGACGAAUUCAAAGAUCUCGGCCUGGAGAGCUGUAUUGAGCAUGUAUGGAAGGAUACUGUCGUGUACCUUGACCGUAACAAGCCGAUAAUGAUUGGCCGAGCAUAUGGCCGGGUGGACCGAGACUUGCUGCACGAGGAGUUGCUGAGAAGAUGCAAUGAAGCUGGUGUUACAUACCUCAACUCAAAGGUUGAACAGAUAAAAGAAUCUCCAGAUGGACAUCGAGUGGUAUAUUGUGGAAGGGGCCGCAAGAUACUUUGCAGGCUUGCCAUUGUUGCAUCUGGAGCAGCAUCUGGUAAACUUCUAGAGUAUGAGGUUGGAGGACCACGUGUUUGUGUGCAGACUGCAUACGGUGUAGAAGUCGAGGUUGAAAGAUAUCCGUACGAUCCCAGCUUAAUGGUUUUCAUGGACUACAGAGAUUGUUUCAAAGAGAAGUUCACACACCCUGAGGAAGCCAAUCCAACAUUUCUCUAUGCCAUGGCCAUGUCAUCUACACGAGUUUUCUUUGAGGAAACAUGCUUAGCUUCAAAAGAUGCAAUGCCUUUUGAUCUCCUUAAGAAGAGGUUGAUGUCUCGGUUGGAUGCGAUGGGAGUUCGUAUCAUAAAAGUAUACGAGGAGGAGUGGUCUUAUAUUCCUGUUGGAGGAUCCUUACCUAACACAGACCAGAAGAAUCUUGCAUUUGGUGCUGCAGCGAGUAUGGUCCAUCCUGCAACUGGAUAUUCGGUGGUCAGAUCUUUGUCUGAAGCUCCUAGAUAUGCUUCUGUGAUAUCUGAUAUCUUACGAAAUCGUGUCUAUUCUGGACAAUAUUUGCCUGGAAGUUCUGAAAUGUCCAGUCCAUCAAUGCUUGCAUGGGGAACACUAUGGCCUCAAGAACGGAAACGUCAGCGCUCAUUCUUCCUCUUUGGAUUGGCCUUGAUAAUUCAACUGGAUAACGAAGGCAUUCAAACAUUCUUCGAGAGCUUUUUCCGGUUACCCAAAUGGAUGUGGCGAGGAUUCCUUGGUUCGACGCUUUCGUCAGCGGAUCUCAUGCUGUUUGCACUCUACAUGUUUGCAAUUGCGCCAAACACUUUGCGAAUGAACCUCGUCAGACACCUCCUCUCGGACCCGACUGGUUCGGCAAUGAUCAGGACCUACCUGACCUUGUAAAACCAUUUGAUGACUAGUCUGCGAGAAAUCUAGAAAGUGUACAGUUUUGUAGUUGUACAUAACAUAGUUAGAGAUGUUGGGGGAUAUCACCUGCCAUGUGUUGCCUCUGCCUAUGCCUAGUAGUGGAGUAAAGCGUGGAUCUUGUAUAGUUGAAGUGGCCAUGGUUUAAUUUUAGGUUUGGUCUGGGUCAAGCUUCUCCGGGUGCCAAAAGUGGGAGCGUGCAAGAAUAGCCAAAUGUGCUGGUCUAAUCUGGUACCCCCUCGCCCCCUAGGUCAUUUAACGGCGGCAUGCACGGGGAGGAUCUUUGUAGGCAAGGAAGGGAGCAGGAGGAAGAGGAGGAGAAGGGACGCUUCCGUCGUUCCCUCAACCUCUCUGCCUCUCCUUUCUCUUUCUCUUGGUGGCCGCCCCUUGUAACAUUUGGCAUCCAUCCAACUGAUCGGAGCAUCGCCGGCAUCCAUUCCCGGUGGAACCGAUGAUGCAGGGAAGCCCCCUGAGUCCCGAUGAGCACCGGCUGACCUCGCCGCCGAGCCUGCACCAGCCGGCGUCGACCAUCGUCGUUGCCAUCGACCGGGACCGCAACAGCCAACUGGCCAUGAAAUGGGUGGUGGACCACCUCCUCUCCGGCGCCUCCCAUAUCAUUCUCCUCCACGUGGCGGCCCACCCUCCUGCAGCCAACCAUGGAUUUGCCAUGGCUGAGACGACGCAGGACGCGCUGGAGGCUGAAAUGAUGGAGAUCUUUGUCCCCUUCAGAGGAUUCUGCUCUAGGAAUGGGGUGCAAGAAUCGGAGGUGAUACUGGAAGAGGCAGACGUCCCCAAGGCCAUCAUAGACUACAUCAGUGCCAACAAGAUCCAGAGCAUCGCGCUGGGCGCGUCCAACAGGAACGCAUUCACCAAGAAGUGGAAGAACCCCGACGUGCCCUCCAGCCUCAUGAAGGGCGCGCCCGACUACUGCAACAUCUACGUGGUCGCCAAGGGCAAGCCCGUCAACGUCAGGCUCGCCAAGUGCGGCGUGCCGGCCGACGACAGCGACUUCCUCCUCGCAACCUACUCCAGGAGGAGCUCCAGGAGCCAGCUGCCGCCGGUCUUGCCCGACUUUUUGUCCUCCAGCAGGCGCUCCAUCGACAGGCCCGAGCUCACCACGCGCCCGCCGUUCCGCGAGCGGCCCCUGCAGGCGUCCGCGACCAAGCCCCACCUCCUCUUGGCAAGGAUGGACAGCACCACGCUGCGCUCCAACUCCCACGACCCAUCCAGCCUCGACCCCGACUUCGCACAGGCCGUGCAUUUCCCCUCCAUGGACUUUGGCGAGAACAUGGACGCGCUCCCCCUCAGCCCCCGGGAGCCCGGCACGCCCCUCUCCGCCGUGAGUUCCUCCUACCUUCCUUCCUUCCUGCUUGCUUCCUUCCUUCCUUUCCCGUCGAGAUCGAUCCAUGCAUGAUCGAUCCAUGCAUGCAUGUGCUUAGCUUAUUAGUUGGUACGUGUAAAAAAGGCCCAGCGCGAGGUGGAGGCGGAGAUGAGGCGGCUCAAGCUGGAGCUGAAGCAGACCAUGGACAUGUACAACGCAGCAUGCAAGGAGGCCAUCAACGCCAAGCAGAGGGCCAAGGAGAUGCACCUGCUCAAGAUGGAGGAGGCGCGGCGCCUGGAGGAGGCCCGUCAGUCGGAGGAGGCCGCAUUGGCGCUCGCCGAGAUGGAGAAGGUCAAGUGCCGCGCCGCCAUGGAGGCUGCCGAGGCCGCGCAGCGUCUGGCCGACCUCGAGGCACAGCGUCGCCGCAACGCCGAGGUGCGCGCGCGCCGGGAGGCCGACGAGAAGGUGCGCGCCCUGGACGCCAUCGCCAACCACGACUUCCGCUACCGCAAGUACAGCAUCGACGAGAUCGAGAUUGCCACCGAGGGCUUCUCCGAGAGUCUCAAGAUCGGGGAAGGCGGCUACGGCCCCGUCUACAGCGCCAGCCUCGACCACACUCCGGUCGCCAUCAAGGUGCUCCGCCCGGACGCCCAGCAGGGCCGGAAGCAGUUCCAGCAGGAGGUGGAGGUGCUCAGCCGCAUCCGCCACCCCAACAUGGUCUUGCUCCUCGGUGCCUGCCCGGAGUACGGCUGCCUCGUCUACGAGUACAUGGAGAACGGCAGCCUCGAGGACCGCCUGUACCGUCGCGGCGGCACGCCGACGCUCCCGUGGAGCCAGCGCUUCAGGAUCUCGGCUGAGAUCGCGACGGCUCUGCUGUUCCUUCACCAGACCAAGCCGGAGCCGCUGGUGCACCGAGACCUCAAGCCGGCCAACAUCCUGCUGGAUCGCAACUACGUGAGCAAGAUCAGCGACGUCGGGCUGGCGCGCCUCGUGCCACCGGCGGUGGCGGACAGCGUCACGCAGUACCGGCUGACGGCCACGGCGGGCACCUUCUGCUACAUUGACCCGGAGUACCAGCAAACGGGCAAGCUGGGCGUCAAGUCGGACAUCUAUUCUCUGGGCGUGCUGCUGCUGCAGGUUAUCACCGCGCGGCCGCCCAUGGGGCUCACGCAUCACGUCGAGAAGGCCAUCGAGUCCGGAACCUUCGCACAGAUGCUGGACAUCACCGUCAAGGACUGGCCCGUGGAGGACGCGCUGGGGUUCGCCAAGCUCUCGCUCAACUGCACGGAGAUGCGGCGGAGGGACCGACCGGACCUCGGCACCGUCAUACUGCCGGAGCUCAACCGGCUCAGAAACCUCGGCAUCGCCUACAACCAGGCGCGCGCCACCGUCCCUGCUGGCGACAGCAGUUCGCAUGGGGACGGGAACGGGCAGGAAGGGGUCAGCUCACCGACGGCUGACGCGGGGUUGUGGAGAACGGCGGAAAGCUAGCAUUGGCACACAUACACAGGGUUGUCUGUAUAUUAGCUCCGUUUCAGAUAGAGAGUGAGCUUAAGUAAUUACUGUACAAGAGGAGAGGGGCAUUAUGAAUGCCCACGUUCUUUUUGAG
rnacentral:rRNA from 1 species